rnacentral:rRNA from 1 species
GUGGAUUAGAUACCCUAGUAGUCCACGCCGUAAACGAUGAAUACUAGGUGUAGGGGGUGUCAACUCCCCCUGUGCCGCCGCUAACGCAUUAAGUAUUCCGCCUGGGGAGUACGGUCGCAAGAUUAAAACUCAAAGGAAUUGACGGGGGCCCGCACAAGUAGCGGAGCAUGUGGUUUAAUUCGACGCAACGCGAAGAACCUUACCUAGACUUGACAUCUUCUGCAUUACCCUUAAUCGGGGAAGUCCUUUCGGGGACAGAAUGACAGGUGGUGCACGGUCGUCGACAACU